rnacentral:rRNA from 1 species
GACGAACGCUGGCGGCAUGCCUAACACAUGCAAGUCUAGGGGUAGCAAUACCACUGGCGCACGGGUGAGUAACACGUAGGUUAUCUGCCCCCAUCACAGACAUAACCCCGGGAAACCGGGGCUAAUAUCUGAUGAGGUCGCGAGAUCAAAGCUUCGGCGGAUGGGGAUGAGCCUGCGGCUGAUUAGCUAGUUGGUGAGGUAAUGGCUCACCAAGGCGACGAUCAGUAGCUGGUCUGAGAGGACGAACAGCCACACUGGAACUGAGACACGGUCCAGACUCCUACGGGAGGCAGCAGUGAGGAAUAUUGGUCAAUGGGAGCAAUCCUGAACCAGCAAUGCCGCGUGUGGGAUGACAGGGCUUCGCCUUGUAAACCACUGUCGGACGGGACGAAAGGAGGCCUCGGGGCCUCUGGGACGGUACCGUCAAAGGAAGGAUCGGCUAACUACGUGCCAGCAGCCGCGGUAAU